AAUUCCGANAACAACGAGACCUUAACCUACGCUAAAUAAGUCCGGCCGGCUUUGCUGGUCGCAGACUUCUUAGAGGGACUGUCAGCGUCUAGCUGACGGAAGGUUUGAGGCAAUAACAGGUCUGUGAUGCCCUUAGAUGUUCUGGCCGCACGCGCGCUACACUGACAGAGCCAGCGAGGUUCCACCUUGGCCGGAAGGUCUGGGUAAUCUUGUGAAACUUUGUCGUGCUGGGGAUAGGGCAUUGCAAUC
rnacentral:rRNA from 1 species